AUGCUCAGAGAAGCUUCCCAUUCUUACUUGGCCGCCACUCUACUCGAAUCCUGCAGCGCCCCUAUAUAUACACUUAUUUGCCAAACACUUUCAUCGUACACUCACUCCCUUCACUGGAACAUCCAAAGCCGAGAAAACAGAGACAUGGACAGCGCGACCUCGUCGUCCGGCGAUGAGCGCGGCGGUGUGCACGUCCUGCUGGUGCCGCUGCCGGCGCAGGGCCACAUGAACCCGAUGCUCCAGCUCGGCCGGCGCCUCGUGUACCACGGCCUGCGCCCCACGCUCGUCGCCACGCGGUACGUGCUCUCCACGGGCCCGCCCCCCGGCGACCCCUUCCGCGUGGCCGCCUUCUCAGACGGGUUCGACGACGGCGGCAUGGCCUCCUGCCCGGACCCCGUCGAGUACUGCCGCAGGGCCGAGGCCGUGGGGUCCGAGACGCUGGCGCAGGUCAUCGCCGCCGAGGCGCGCGCCGGGAGGACGCCGUCCGUGAUGGUCUACGACCCACACAUGGCGUGGGCGCCGCUUGUGGCACGGGCCGCCGGCGUGCCGACCGCCGCGUUCAUGUCGCAGUCGUGCGCCGUGGACCUGAUCUACGGGGAGGCGUGGGCGGGGCGCGCGCCGCUGCCGAUGGCGGACGGGAGCGCGCUGCGUUGCCGGGGCGCGGUGAGCGUGGACCUCGGCCCGGAGGACCUGUCGCCGUUCGUGGUGUCGCCGGGGCUGUACCCCAAGUACCUCGACGUGUCGAUCCGGCAGUUCGAGGGACUAGAGGACGCCGGCGACGUGCUCGUCAACUCCUUCCGUGACCUCGAACCGCAGGAGGCGGAGUAUAUGGAGUCCAGAUGGCGCGCCAAGACAGUCGGCCCGACGCUGCCGUCCUUCUUCCUCGACGACGGCCGCCUGCCGUCGAACAAGGCCUACGGCGUCAACUUCUUCAGCAGCGCCGCGCCGUGCAUGGCAUGGCUGGAUCGGCAGCCUCCUUGCUCAGUAGUCCUCGCGUCUUAUGGGACGGUCUACAGCCUCGACGCCGGUGAGCUUGACGAGCUUGGAAAUGGGCUCUGCGAUUCCGGCAAGCCAUUUCUCUGGGUCGUGAGGUCCAACGAGGCACGGAAGAUAUCUGAAGAGCUCCAUGGCAGGUGCAAGGAAAAUGGAUUAAUUGUGCCUUGGUGUCCCCAGCUUGAGGUUCUCGCGCAUAAGGCCAUAGGUUGUUUCUUGACUCAUUGUGGAUGGAACUCAACGACAGAGGCGCUUGUUGCUGGCGUGCCAAUGGUGGCGAUGCCGAGGUCGGCCGACCAGCCAACCACGGCAAAGUACGUGGAGAGUGCAUGGGGGACCGGCGUGCGGAUGCGGACAGAUGAGAAAGGCUUGGUGAUAAGGGAGGAGGUAGAGAGGUGCAUCAGGAAGGUGAUGGAUGGGGAGGGAAAGGUUGAAUACCGCAAAAAUGCGACAAAAUGGAUGAGGAUGGCCAAAGAGGCAAUGCAGGAAGGAGGGAGUUCCGACAAGAAUAUUGCUGAAUUUGCGGCUAAGUAUUUAUCAUGA
rnacentral:rRNA from 1 species